UACGUAGGGUGCGAGCGUUGUCCGGAAUUAUUGGGCGUAAAGAGCUCGUAGGCGGCUUGUCGCGUCGGGUGUGAAAUCCCGGGGCUCAACCCCGGGUCGGCAUUCGAUACGGGCAGGCUGGAGUUCGGCAGGGGAGACUGGAAUUCCUGGUGUAGCGGUGAAAUGCGCAGAUAUCAGGAGGAACACCGGUGGCGAAGGCGGGUCUCUGGGCCGAUACUGACGCUGAGGAGCGAAAGCGUGGGGAGCGAACAGGAUUAGAAACCCCCGUAGUCC
rnacentral:rRNA from 1 species